rnacentral:rRNA from 1 species
ACUCAAAUGAAUAGACGGGGGCCCGCACAAGCAGCGGAGCGUGUGGUUUAAUUCGAUGCAACACGCAGAACCUUACCCGGGCUUGACAUGCCGGAAGUAGGAACCCGAAAGGGGGACGACCCGUUAAGGCGGGAGCCGGCACAGGUGCUGCAUGGCUGUCGUCAGCUCGUGCCGUGAGGUGUUGGGUUAAGUCCCGCAACGAGCGCAACCCUCGUCGCUAGUUGCACGUGUCUAGCGAGACUGCCCCGGAUAACGGGGAGGAAGGUGGGGAUGACGUCAAGUCCGCAUGGCCUUUAUGCCCGGGGCGACACACACGCUACAAUGGCCGGUACAAUGGGUGGCUAAGCCGCAAGGCGGAGCGAAUCCCACCAAAGCCGGUCUCAGUUCGGAUUGGGGUCUGCAACCCGACCCCAUGAAGCUGGAGUUGCUAGUAACCGCGCGUCAGCCAUAGUGCGGUGAAUGCGUUCCCGGGCCUUGCACACACCGCCCGU